rnacentral:tRNA from 1 species
GGUGUAGCGCAGUUGGUAGCGCGCCUGCUUUGGGAGCAGGAUGCCGGGGGUUCGAGUCCCUUCACU